GAUGAACGCUGGCGGCGUGCUUAACACAUGCAAGUCGAACGGAAAGGCCCAAGCUUGCUUGGGUACUCGAGUGGCGAACGGGUGAGUAACACGUGGGUGAUCUGCCCUGCACUUCGGGAUAAGCCUGGAAACUGGGUCUAAUACCGGAUAGGACCACAUUUUGGAUGGUGUGGUGGAAAGUUUUUCGGUGUGGGAUGAGCUCGCGGCCUAUCAGCUUGUUGGUGGGGUAAUGGCCUACCAAGGCGUCGACGGGUAGCCGGCCUGAGAGGGUGUACGGCCACAUUGGGACUGAGAUACGGCCCAGACUCCUACGGGAGGCAGCAGUGGGGAAUAUUGCACAAUGGGCGCAAGCCUGAUGCAGCGACGCCGCGUGGGGGAUGACGGCCUUCGGGUUGUAAACUCCUUUCGCUAGGGACGAAGCGUUUUUGUGACGGUACCUGGAGAAGAAGCACCGGCUAACUACGUG
rnacentral:rRNA from 1 species